CCAUUUUCGCACGCCAGUAUAAAUUCGUCCGUCGUGUAGCACGCGUCGCUCGUCGUUUUAUUCAUAACUUUGCGUUCUUACAAUAUAAAAACGCUGUUUGUACUUAGGUUUCCAUUAAAUUAAAGGUUUGCGCCGUGAUUUAUCUGUUUUAUAUAUUUACUGUCUCAAAAUAGUUGUUAUUGCCAUUGUUUUGAAAAACGAACAUUGUGCACACACACUUUGGACCUUAUCUUCGGCGGUUUUGAAGAAGUAGUAUCAUCAUUUAACCUCGGGCUUAUGCUGCUCUGGAAUGAUUACAACACACAUCAAAAGAAAGCAAUUGCCUUCGAGUUCCGAUGCCGAAUCACG